CCCGCUGAACUUAAGCAUAUCAAUAAGCGGAGGAAAAGAAACUAACAAGGAUUCCCCUAGUAACUGCGAGUGAAGCGGGAAGAGCUCAAAUUUGAAAUCUGGCGGCUUCGCCGUCCGAGUUGUAUUCUGGAGAAGCGUUUUCCGUGCUGGACCGUGUACAAGUCCCUUGGAACAGGGCGUCGUAGAGGGUGAGAAUCCCGUCUUUGACACGGACUGCCAGUGCUCUGUGAUGCGCUCUCGAAGAGUCGAGUUGUUUGGGAAUGCAGCUCAAAAUGGGUGGUAAAUUCCAUCUAAAGCUAAAUAUUGGCGAGAGACCGAUAGCGAACAAGUACCGUGAGGGAAAGAUGAAAAGCACUUUGGAAAGAGAGUUAAACAGUACGUGAAAUUGUUGAAAGGGAAGCGCUUGCGACCAGACUUGCGCACCGUCGAUCAUCCGGUGGUCUCCCCGGUGCACUCGACUCUGCUCAGGCCAGCAUCGGUUCUGGUGGUUGGAUAAAGGCCUUGGGAAUGUAGCUCCCCUGGGGAGUGUUAUAGCCCUCGGUGCAAUGCAGCCCACCGGGACCGAGGACCGCGCUCCGGCUAGGAUGCUGGCGUAAUGGUUGCAAGCGACCCGUCUUGAAACACGG
rnacentral:rRNA from 1 species